UAUAAAGCACCUGGAGGGGCUCGCGCUGAUUAGACCCCCAGUAAAGAAGGGUUAAAGUGCCAAAACUGACCUACACUCUCACUCAUACUUAGACAUCCCAAAUGCAGUUUUCGAGUGCGGGAUAUGACUUACAGUCUGUGUUUAGACGGAAAUAUCUGACAUUACCUGAAAGAGAAACUCGAUACGAGAAUGAUAUUCGGAAAGCUCUUGAAGUAGCUACAAACGUCACGUCGCCUGUAGCUCGCGAUGCGCCUCAUGUAGCGCUUCAGCCGAGCACAGUGUUUUGGAUUUAAAUGGUCCAAUUUUGACACACGUGCUUUGCUCAACCGAGUAUCGGCGCUAAGCCCCAUGAUUUCACCUCGUCCUUGAGAGACCAGCGCAAGUCAACCCAAAUAAAACAUCCCGACCCUGUUCACCUCUCCCGGAGGGUCGUUUUCCUUCGAGACACGUGGACGAAGCCGUACACCGCAUUAGGAUAAACUUUGGUCCAGAGUGUGUCAGUGGGUGUCAUCCCGUCUGCAAAAGUGAAAAUGUGAAUAAU